CGGCUAAAAACAAUGUUUUUCGAUUGAUCGAUUGAUCAAAAAACUGAUUUUAUCAACAAAGAUGAAUUUUUUCGUCUUUAAUGGUACAAUUGGCCCGCCAUUCCGCAGGCCCUUCAUUUCGAUCAACAACGAAAACAGAAGCACGUGUGUGUGACUUGUCGACUUGUACUCCGAACUUUCUGCGUACCAAGUAGUUGCCUCGGAGAAGACACUGUCCGAUCGAUUGAUGUCUUGAGGAUGGCUUGAACCAUGGUGGCAAAACUUGUUUUUACCUCCAUACUUAAACUGUCAUCUUUAGAUUUCUCCACGAUUUGAACGAGUAAAGCUAUUGGUGGGUUUCUGUACUUGCAAAUGCCAGACUUCAAUGAUUAUAAGGCAAUCUCUUUCAUGACUUCAACGCUUAAUUUUUCAACGAGGGGAUUAUGAUGCAGUAAGAUGAUCAUCGCACUCUUUACUCUUAUCGCUCGUAUCUACGCCCAUUGUCCUGGCGGUGAGGAGUGUCAACAUUCCGCUGGAAGUUGGUGGUUUUUCAAUAACCAACACGACGACGAGACCGCCGGACUGGUGCAUGGUGGAAAAACAUGAACCUCAGCCAGAAGUCUCAGCAAAAGUCAUACACACGGAUAUAUAUAUAUAUAUAUAUAUAUGUAUACACACACACACACACAUAUAUAUAUGUAUACUUCAGGGAUGUUAUUCUUGGUGCUGAGUCAACUCUACAGUCAACAGAAGCUCAACAGAAUGUUACUCCAUCGGGCAAUGGUAGUAAAUGGAUAGCUUCCUGUGAACGUGCUAUUCGACUGAUUUGCAUAAGAGGCUUAUGCCUCCCUCUAUUGGUCGGACUUAUUGUCACGUGACAAAUCUAUUCUGCUCGACCUUUGUUAUUACGAUCAACCAGUCAAUAUAACUAUUAUAUCCCUUCGGAGCGUCGCUCUAUGUAUGGUUACACGUGUUUUCAGCGCGGUAACUGUUCUGAAUUUGAAAUACAUGUGUUUUAGGAUAAAUGGUGAGAUGUUUCUUGACACUAUCGUGUUCGCUUCGGCAACACAUCUAAUAAAAUUGGAACGAUACAGAGAAGAUUAGCAUGGCCCCUGCGCAAGGAAGCUACCCACCAAUCUUCUCUGUCCCCGCGUCCCGUAGGCUCCCACGCCGGCGCCGUUCUGUUGAUUU